rnacentral:lncRNA from 1 species
ACUCUGUUACUCUUCUGCUUUAUUAGCUUCCGGCCAGGCUGAACUGGCAUUGCUGCAACUUUUCAGGGCGUGUACAGCAAAAGGGUGCUGUGGGGAAGAGUGGGGCAUUGGAGGGACUUGGAUGUGGGGCAGCUAUAGAGUCUAAAGGCUGCAUCACGGGAACAGUUUUUGUGGACCUUACGGCAGCCUAUGACACAGUGCAACAUAGAAAAAUGCUGCAUAAAGUCUACCAUAUCACCCGGGACUUUGACUUUACAAAAACUGUCCAGACCCUCUUAGAAAACCGCAGCUUCUAUGUGGAGUUUCAGGGCCAGAAAAGCAGAUGGAGGAGGCAAAAGAAUGGUUUACCCCAAGGCAGCGUUCUUGCACCAACCUUAUUUAACAUCUUCACGAACGAUCAGCCACUACCACCACUCACAAAGAGCUUUAUAUAUGCUGAUGACCUUGGCCUUACAACACAAGCAAAAGAUUUUGAAACAGUUGAAAAGCAACUCACCAAUGCCUUGAAAGAUCUCUCCAGCUACUACAAAGAGAACCACCUGAAGCCUAACCCUGCCAAGACACAAGUGUGUGCUUUCCACCUACGUAACCGCGAAGCCAACAGGAAACUGAAAGUUACUUGGGAAGGCCAAGAGCUCGAACACUGUUUCCAUCCUAAAUACCUUGGUGUCACCUUAGACCGAACACUAACAUAUAGGAAACACUGCAUGAACACCAAGCACAAAGUCGCUGCACGCAAUAACAUCCUGCGGAAACUGACUGGCAGCGCAUGGGGAGCAGACCCACAAGUAAUAAGAACAUCAGCCCUGGCCUUGUCUUUCUCAGCUGCAGAGUAUGCCUGUCCUGUUUGGCACAAGUCUGCCCAUGCAAAGCAGGUGGACAUAGCACUGAACGAAACAUGCAGAAUCAUCACGGGAUGCCUUAAACCUACACCUGUUGAUAAACUCUACAAGUUAGCUGGCAUUGCCCCUCCUGAUGUGCGACGGGAAGUUGCUGCUAACGGUGAGAGAAAAAAGGUUGAACAUUGUGAAAGCCACCCACUGCAUGGCUAUCACCCUCCUCCCACCAGACUCAAAUCAAGGAAGGGCUUCAUGAGAACCACCACUCCUCUUGAUGUUCCUCCAGCAACAGCAAGGGUGUCCCUCUGGGCAGCUAAACCUGGCAAUUCUAACUGGAUGGCCCCCCAAGAGGGUCUUCCUCCAGGGGCAAACCAGGAAUGGGCAACUUGGAAGUCCCUGAACAGACUCAGAAGUGGAGUGGGCAGAUCAAAAGACAACUUGGCAAGGUGGCACUACCUGGAGGAAUCCUCCACCUUGUGUGACUGUGGAGCUGAACAAACAACUCAGCAUAUGUAUGCUUGCCCACAAUGCCCUGCCUCAUGUACGGAGGAGGAGUUGUUUAAAGCUACAGACAAUGCGGUUGCUGUUGCCCGCUUUUGGUCCAAAACUAUUUAGUUGCUUGUGAUUUCUUUUCUUUUUUAUUUUAUUUCCAUUAUUUGAAAUGUAUUUGCUGUACCAAUACUUUUGACACGAAAUAAAUAAAUAGAGUCUACAUAUGGCAGUGCUCUCAGGCACAAAGCUGGUGAACAAAGAGACUCAGCCUGAGACCUAACCAAACAUGGGGUCAGAAAGCUGCUGUGGAAUCCUUAU